UGAAACAUGAACUGGGAAGAAACUCUGGGUGCCUCAGGGGGAUGUCCCCUUCUUUGUGGAAAACUGCAAUGAUUCCAGUGAGACAAAACUUGUUGCCAGCGCUGCUCCCAGUGGGACCCUGCUCUACAGCCACAGCGAUUGUUAAACUAAACAGGUGGACCAACCAAGGUUUCUUCUUUGGAAUUGUAAAAACGGGACCUACUGAACAAGAGCCAGCUCUUUAAGUGGUGGGACCUAUAAAAUGCAAACUUGUGAGCAGCUGAUAGCCAUAUUUCCAGCCCCUUGGACUGCAGGAACAGAGUAAGAUUGGCAGCAAAGACAGGGAGGCAGAGGGCAGAACCCUAACAGUAUAGGGUGCCUUGUUACCAUUUGUUUCUGAGGCCUGGUUUCUGAACCCUGUCUUUCAGUUCUCUUACCCUAAUAAUACUCUUUUAUUUUUGCUUAUGCUAGCUCAA
rnacentral:lncRNA from 1 species